AUGCAGACACUCCAGUUUCCAAGCAAGACACAGAGCAAGAAAUUGCACAUACCUUGCUUCGCCCUUGCUCUCGUGCUGCUGAUCUCCUUGGCCUCUCCGGCCAGUUCCUGCACCGAGCAUGAGGAGGCCUCCCUUCUCCAGUUCCACGCUGGGCUCUCGUGGGGCGGCGGCCUCGCCGCGACGUGGCAGAGGAACAAGGACUGCUGCACUUGGGAAGGGAUCAUCUGCAGCAGUCCUAAUAGGACGGUCACUGAUGUUUCUCUGGCUUCUCGAGGCCUCGAGGGGAUCAUCUCACCAUUCCUUGGCAACCUCACCAGCCUCUUGCGCCUCAACCUCUCUCACAACUCACUGUCCGGUGGCCUGCCGCUGGAAUUGGUGUCGUCCAGCAGCAUCACCAUACUUGAUGUCAGCUUUAACCAGCUCAAUGGAACACUCCACAAGCCGGCAUCUCCAUCCACUGCCCGGCCUCUCCAGGUACUGAACAUCUCGAGCAACUUAUUUGCAGGACAGUUUCCAUCCACCACAUGGGAAGCAAUGGAGAAUCUGAGAGCACUCAAUGCCAGUAACAACAGCUUUACAGGGCACAUACCAACUUGUUUCUGUAUCAGCUCACCGUCCUUCGCUGUGCUUGACCUGUGUUUAAACAAAUUGAGUGGCAAAAUCCCCCGACAAAUUGGUCAUUGCUCCAAGCUGAGAGAGCUCAGGGCCGGGUACAACAACAUCAGUGGAGAAAUCCCAGAUGAACUCUUCAAUGCAACUUUGUUGGAAUACCUGUCUUUUCGUAAUAAUCAUUUAAAUGGAGUUCUUGAUGGUGUGCACAUAACCAAGCUCAGAAAUCUAGUAGCACUUGAUCUUGGAGGGAACAACUUCAGUGGCGAGAUUCCAGACUCCAUCGGCCAGCUCAAGAAACUGGAGGAGUUCCAUCUGGACAACAACAAUUUGUCAGGGGAGCUGCCAUCAGCUCUAAGCAACUGCACAAAUCUUGCAGUACUUGUCCUCUCGAGCAACAAAUUCAGUGGACAGCUCACCAAGGUCAACUUCUCCAACCUGCCAAAUCUAAGGACAUUAGAUGUUUACUACAACAACUUCACCGGCACAGUUCCAGAAAGCAUAUACUCUUGCAGCAAUCUGACUGCACUGCGGGUAUCUACCAACAAAUUAGAUGGGCAGCUUUCACCAAGAAUAAGUGAUCUGAAGAGCCUCACCUUCCUAUCACUUUCUACAAACCGUUUCAGAAAUAUCACAAACGCACUUCAAAUCCUUAAGAGCUGCAGGAACCUUACCACUCUGCUUAUCGGCGAUAACUUCAAGCAAGAGUUCAUGACUGAGGAUGACAGAAUUGAUGGCUUCGAGAAGCUCCAGGUUUUGGACAUCGAAGAUUGCCAGUUGUCAGGAAAAAUACCUCUAUGGAUAUCAAGGCUCACAAAUUUGGAGAUGUUACUUUUGAAUAGAAAUCGACUCACUGGACCAAUACCAGGAUGGAUCAACUCCCUAAGCCAUCUCUUCUAUAUGGAUGUGUCAAACAACAGUCUUACAGGACAAAUCCCGUUAACCUUGACGGAGAUGCCAAUGUUAAAAUCAAUUGAAAACGCAACUCAUUGGGACCCAAGGGUCUUUGAGUUGCCUGUUUACAAUGGUCCAUCACUUCAAUACCGUGUUGUUACUUCUUUUCCAGCAGUGUUGAAUCUAAGCAACAACCACUUCACAGGUGUGAUUCCCCCACAGAUUGGUCAGUUGAAAGUGCUUGUUGCACUUGAUUUCAGUUUCAACAUGUUAUCCGGACAGAUCCCACUGUCGAUUUGCAACCUCACAAACUUGCAGGUGCUAGACUUGUCCAGCAACAGUCUAACAGGUGCUAUCCCAGCUGCAUUGAAUAGCCUACACUUCCUUUCAGCAUUCAGCAUUUCGAACAAUGACCUAGAAGGGCCUAUUCCAUCUGGAGGCCAGUUCAAUACAUUUCAGAAUUCUAGUUUCGAUGGGAAUCCAAAGCUGUGUGGCUCUAUUCUCACUCACAAAUGUGAUUCUUCAAUACACCCGUCCUCCAGAAAACAACGAGAUAAGAAAUUUGCUUUCGCAAUUGGAUUUGGUGUGUUCUUUGGAGGUAUUGCUAUUCUGUUGUUGCUGGUGCGACUCCUUCUCUCAGUCAAGAUGAAGGGUUUUACAGAGAAACAUGGAAGCAAGAAUAGCAGAGAUGUUGAAGCGACUUCACUCUACUCUAGUUCAGAGCAAACACUAGUAGUGAUGCACAUGCCACAAGGCAAGGGAGAAGGAAACAAGCUCAAAUUCUCUGACAUUUUGAAAGCUACGAACAACUUUGACAAGGAGAACAUCAUUGGGUGUGGAGGCUAUGGGUUAGUCUACAAGGCAGAGCUACAUGAUGGCUCCAAAUUGGCAAUUAAAAAGCUCAACGGUGAAAUGUGUCUGAUGGAAAGGGAAUUCAGUGCAGAGGUUGAUGCUCUCUCCAUGGCACAGCAUGAAAAUCUUGUACCACUCUGGGGUUACUGCGUCCAGGGAAACUCAAGGCUCCUCAUGUAUUCCUACAUGCAGAAUGGCAGCCUGGAUGAUUGGCUUCAUAACAGAGAUGAUGACACUAGCUCAUUUCUUGACUGGCCGACUCGGCUCAAGAUCGCACGAGGAGCCAGCCUAGGCCUCUCCUAUAUACAUGAUAUCUGCAAGCCUCAAAUUGUACACCGUGACAUCAAAUCCAGUAAUAUCCUAUUGGACAAAGAAUUUAAAGCUUACCUUGCAGAUUUUGGGCUAGCCAGGUUGAUCCUUCCCAACAAAACUCAUGUUACAACUGAGUUGGUCGGCACUAUGGGUUACAUUCCCCCUGAGUAUGGGCAAGCGUGGGUUGCUACGUUGAGAGGAGAUAUAUACAGUUUUGGGGUAGUCCUGCUUGAGCUGCUCACAGGAAGGCGACCCGUUCCAGUUUCGUCUACAACAAAAGAACUUGUCCCAUGGGUUCUACAGAUGAGGUCUGAGGGCAAGCAGAUUGAGGUCCUGGAUCCAACACUUCGAGAAACAGGGUAUGAAGAGCAAAUGCUGAAGGUGCUUGAAACUGCUUGCAGGUGUGUCAAUCAUAAUCAGUUCAGGAGGCCAACUAUCAUGGAAGUGGUCUCCUGCUUGGGCAGUAUAGACACUGACCUGCGGACAUAA
rnacentral:rRNA from 1 species